CGUGUGCGCGCGUGCCACACGGACGCACUGGUGACAGGAGGACAAAAGGAAAAGCUGGCGGACAGAGAGGGAAGUUCAGAAGUCUGUUAAGGGAAAACAAACCACAGAGGUCGGACGAAAGGAAAUGAAGAGGAUGAAAGUGGAUGAAGAACCCUGGAGGGUUGGAGAGAAUGGAGAAGGGAAAGGGAACUAUUUGGCACACUGGGGUCCUGAUUGCGUAAACAAGCUGUGGUCCCUUUCUCCACAUCUUUAUUGGCUCUACAGAUCUGAGACCAUCUCAUUUCCCUGUAUUUGUGUAACCCUUGACCCCUCCAGUGUGUUUACGCAUCACCCCAGAAUGUGUUUAUCAUCAGCACUGGGAGGUCGUGACGAUUCCGAGCUCAUACAGUUUAGCUUCCUGUUGGCCAUCACUGCUCGUUGGAAUAAAAACUGCUGCCCCCGGAUGUGGACCAUCACCUUACCCGACUCAAAAAUGGGUUCUGUGACUCUUUUGUUUCGUGACUCUUUUGUUUCGUGACUCUUUCAGGCCUGACCUCUGACCUUUUCCUGGUGCCGUCCUCACCCACGUCUGUACCCAUGGAGGAGACGAUUGAUACCGCUCUCAUGUGUGUCGGGGAAACAGUCCCCGGUUAGCUUAGCUUAGCAGGAAGACAAGAAAACAAGGGGGAAAAACAAUCCGUAUUCAUUUCCAGCUGAAGGCGGGAGAGGCCCGUGUGCCACCGCGCACUCUAAAGUGCAACCGUCCCAUCCUGGACCUGCCAGAAAAGAUCUGCCGCGAUCCGAUUCAGGACGUCAGCUCUUCUGUUGGUCACCUGUCCUCGGUGGUCCGAUGCGCGAGGGAGACCGGACCAUUGUGUCGGGUCACAAGGAGCCGGUUAGUGAGGACACGCACAAGGUCAUGGAGGAGGCUUUGUCAAGGGCCGGUGUGCAGCGCAUCAUCCUUUGCCACGAGGCGGGACUCAUCAUCCCAUCGCUGCAGGAGUCAAUGAGCCAGUUGACCCGUCACGGUGCUCACACACACACACUCACAGGACGUACAAUGUGAUGCUGUUUGUGCGUUGAGCUGAUGAUUACUCAUUGUAAGGCUUCGUACAAUGGACCCCCUCUCCCUCUCCCUCUCCCUCUCCCUCCCCCUCCCCCUCAUCAGAUUCCUUGUAAACAGACAAGCACACACACACAAACACAACCACACUUUUCUGUCUCGCUUGAUAAUGAUGUGCAAACGUUCCUGUUUUUGUUGUUCAUAUAUGACAUGUAUUGCACUUUCUUCCUUUUUGGAGUACUUCCUGUCCCGGUGAGAGGGACAAAGCCCUCUGAUGCAAAUUAGUUAUUUGGGGCUGAACAAAGUAAAUCAACAUGAAUCGAAUCGAAUGCAAGUAGAUGUGUCAUCACCCGUUGGUGCCUUUUUGUCAUCGUUGGCCAUCACUUGUGUGUCUCCUUUCUGCGGCGCUUGUUGUUCUUUUCAACAUCGCAUCCUUGCACGCACACACACACACACACACACACACACACACACACACACAGGCCCUCAGCUUUCGCCUGUUUAAACAACAAAGCAAUCCCAUCAUCCUCAGCUCCUUGAGCGACUGACCCGGCGCACCUCGGCUGUCACACACACACACACACACACAUACACACACACACACACACACAGGGGGAAAGAGGCUUAGUCUCACUGCCAGGUGUCAGGUGUCAGGGGGCUAUUGGACAAAAGUAGAAUAAAGAAAUCCAGGAUGAGUGAUAAAGCACCGCUUGACUUGGUGUGAUACUUUCUUGAGUGAACCACGGUGUCGAUCGCAGAUUUACUGAUGCGGAAACGGAGAAAACGCCGGACGCAGCACGUUUUUAACCCGCUGAGCGGCAACUAAUUAUGGAAAAUGAGGAAGCGAAGCAUAAAAUAUGCCAAAAAGGGAGUACGGCAGCUGUAAAUACACAGUGAGAAAAAGCCUGGCAGACAAUCGCGGACCGACUGAAUGCAAAAGGAUUUAAAAAUAUCUACUUACAGUUGUAGACUGUUUUAAUUGCUUUUGAUAUGUUUUUUUUAUGUGUUGGUUUUAUUGCUGUAUCUGUGUGUAUCUGUGUGUAUCUGGCAGGUCUUCCCGCUGCUGCCAUUCGGCCUCUGCAGCUCAUCCAGAACGCAGCAGCUCGAAGAAGAAGUACAGAUACUGGGGUUUAAAACGACUCCUGUAGACGUUGAAGCACCAACUCAAGCUUUUUACUUUAGUAAAAGUAUAAAAGUGCUGGUUUCAAAACUACUUAAAGUAUAAAAGUAAAAGUAAUGUAAGACAAACUCUUAAUGCGUAACUUCGCUCACACAACACGUCAGUCCGUCACAAUGUGAUCAGAAGGAGCCUGCAGAUCACGUGACCUGCCGUUGGGAUGGUGAAAACAACAACAACAACAAAUGUAUCUGACGUAAACAGAUAAAACCACAACCCAUGUUCCACACACACGUUGUUUGCAUUCAUGAGGUAGACUGCAGCGUCUCCCCCAGGUUCACUACGUCAUGUGGGGGGGGCGCCGCUGUUUAUAAUUCCACUGAACUGCCUUUUCUUUGGCAGGUUGAAUUUCUUCAGCUGCCUCAGGAAGAAAAGCCCCUGCUGAGCCGUCUUGGUGAUGGAGCCCAGAUGCAAAUACAAAUACAUUUCAAGGGAAACUCAUUCAUAUAUUCAAUUCUAAAUUGUCUUAUUUGAGGAAAUUGCACUUUCUUGUUUCCUGUUCUCCUGAGUUUGUACCCCUAUGGUUGAAUGCACUUAUUGUAAGUCGCUUUGGAUAAAGGCGUCUGCUAAAUGACAUGUAAUGUAAUGUAUUUGUUUUGGCUUGUUUUUCUCGUACCACAAACAUGUUCCAACCUAAUAAAACACUUUUAGUGUUUUAUUUCAAUAUACAGUGUUAAGCACCGUCUUCAAACUGUUUAAAACUUCCAGGCCGGGACAAGAUCACCGCCCUGUAGUUUGAAAAGCGCUUUUCUUUCUUUCUCGGCCACUCAAAGCACGUUUACACUGCAUUUUACAGUGUAAUUCACAAAGCAGACUAACAAAGUACAGGGGAAAGGUGAUUAGUGCGGGGCAAACAAUCAAUGAAAAGGGGGGGAAAAAACAUGACGCCUAGCGUUAACUUUCAAAAUAAUACACAGAUAAACACAAUACAAACACUGGAGACCAUUAAGAUUCAUUAAGUUUCAUUCACCUACCAAAAUACAGGUUACUUCUCUUUUGCUCCUUCAGAAUAAAGCUCUGCGAGGGUUUCCUGUGUGACCAUCGGAGUGCUCUGCUCGUCCUUUACUUCUACUCCCUGGAUGCACGACAAACACACACACACACACACACAGAAAAAACACACACAAGAGUGAUCUACAGCCAGACAGGAAGCCGCCCCCCCCUCCUCUGUUUCCAGUUUCCAGCAUGGAUGGAUGUGUGUGUGUGUGUGUGUGUGUGUGUGUGUGUGUGUGUGUGUGUGUGUGUGUCCAUGCUCGCUCUGUGCAGGCAAUCGGCUGGAGGCAGACUGAGCGACGCUGGAAGAGAAUGACACACACACAGGAGAAGAUAGUGGAGGUUAGAAGCAAUAUUACGGGAGGAGAAAAAACAUGCGCAAAAUAGUUUACAGGGCACGAAGGAAUAGAACAAAAAGAAGAGCUCGGCAUCCUGACUGGAACUACCAGGUGAAACCUCUUACCAAGCGGCCCUGGAAGCCACCAGCUGAUUGGAGCAAAAGGGGAAUGAAAGGCCGUGGAAGCCAGGAUGAGCCGGAUGAGCUGGGAGUAGCUGGAGGCGUGCAACUUGCAGAGUGUGUUCGAGUGUCUGCGUUUGCCGGGUUGUGCUGGUACUUGUUUGUGGUGGCGUUUUUGUUUCUGCUGUUGGACAGUAUGAUUUUGAGUUUGAACCUGAUGUGGAUGUUUAUUUAUUAUGAAAUAAAUCCCUCUUUUGGUUAAAAAUUCCUUCUUUUAUAGUUUAUUUUCCAUUUGUUACUCCCCGACUCCCCUAGACAUCCGUCGAGGGACAUAACAGCAACCGAACCUCGACGAAAGUUGCGUCCUAUUGUCGACAAACUGCUCCUGUCUGCUGUUGUUGUUGUUGUUGUCAGACAGCUGCAGCUGGUUUUACGGGGGAUCGUAAACGCGCUGAGACGUGCCUCCUCACUCCUCCCUCCUCCCUCCUCCCGCUGGUACGAGGUUUCCUCCCAGAGCUUCAACGUGUGGUUUUACCUGCACGUGAAAACUGCGUAGAAGUAUUUUCAGAUGCAUCAGCGGAACAGGGAGAAGCCUCGGCCUCGUGGGCUUUAUUCUGAACCAGGAUGAGCAGAAGAAAUGACCCCAUGUGAGACGUUUGCAAGGCGCAAACCCAAAGAAGUAGCAGCUGCACCCCCCCAACACCACCACCCCACCACCUCCUGCUCCGGACUGUGUGUGUGUAACCAGACUUGUGUAGUAAAGAUGAAAGCUCGGCACACAGUCGUCCAAACAGAGGCUACUUUCCAUUGCAUUUGCAUCCUCAGAUUUUCAUUGAUUUGCUUAAGGACCCGGCGGCAGCCGAGCACGCGGGACACACAAACGGCAAACUUUUUCAUUGUUCCU
ensembl:lncRNA